rnacentral:rRNA from 1 species
UACGUAGGUGGCAAGCGUUGUCCGGAUUUAUUGGGUUUAAAGGGUGCGUAGGCGGGCUGUUAAGUCAGUGGUGAAAGCUCCAUGCCUAACAUGGAAAAUGCCAUUGAUACUGACGGUCUUGAGUACAUUUGAAGUGGGCGGAAUGUGUCAUGUAGCGGUGAAAUGCUUAGAUAUGACACAGAACACCGAUUGCGUAGGCAGCUCACUAAACUGUAACUGACGCUGAGGCACGAAAGCGUGGGGAGCAAACAGG